rnacentral:rRNA from 1 species
GUAGUCAUAUGCUUGUCUCAAAGAUUAAGCCAUGCAUGUCUAAGUAUAAGCAAUUUUACUGUGAAACUGCGAAUGGCUCAUUAAAUCAGUUAUAGUUUAUUUGAUGGUCUUUUACUACAUGGAUAACUGUGGUAAUUCUAGAGCUAAUACAUGCGUACAAGCCCCGACUUUUCGGAAGGGGUGUAUUUAUUAGGUAAAAACCAACCGCUUCGGCGUCCUUUGGUGAAUCAUAAUAACUUCUCUAAUCGCAUGGCCUUGCGCCGGCGAUGCUUCAUUCAAAUAUCUGCCCUAUCAACUUUGAUGGUAGGAUAGAGGCCUACCAUGGUUGCAACGGGUAACGGGGAAUG